rnacentral:rRNA from 1 species
UUCCGGUUGAUCCUGCCGGAGGUCAUUGCUAUCGGAGUCCGAUUUAGCCAUGCUAGUCGUGCGAGUUCAGACUCGCGGCAUAUAGCUCAGUAACACGUGGUCAAGCUACCCUACAGAGAACGAUAUCCUCGGGAAACUGGGGCCAAUAGUUCAUAAGGUUCCCAGGCUGGAGUGCCGGGAACUGGAAACGUUCCGACGCUGUAGGAUGCGGCUGCGGUCGAUUAGGUAGACGGUGGGGUAACGGCCCACCGUGCCGAUAAUCGGUACGGGUUGUGAGAGCAAGAGCCCGGAGACGGAAUCUGAGACAAGAUUCCGGGCCCUACGGGGCGCAGCAGGCGCGAAACCUUUACACUGCACGCAAGUGCGAUAAGGGGACUCCGAGUGCGAGGGCAUAUAGUCCUCGCUUUUCUGUACCGUAGGAAGGUACAGGAAUAAGAGCUGGGCAAGACCGGUGCCAGCCGCCGCGGUAAUACCGGCAGCUCAAGUGAUGACCGAUUUUAUUGGGCCUAAAGCGUCCGUAGCUGGCCAGACAAGUCUGUCGGGAAAUCCAUCCGCUCAACGGAUGGGCGUCCGGCGGAAACUCUCUGGCUUGGGACCGGAAGGCUCGAGGGGUACGUCCGGGGUAGGAGUGAAAUCCCGUAAUCCUGGACGGGCCACCGAUGGCGAAAGCACCUCGAGAAGACGGAUCCGACAGUGAGGGACGAAAGCUAGGGUCUCGAACCGGAUUAGAUACCCGGGUAGUCCUAGCCGUAAACGAUGUUCGCUAGGUGUGGCACAGGCUACGAGCCUGUGCUGUGCCGUAGGGAAGCCGAGAAGCGAACCGCCUGGGAAGUACGUCCGCAAGGAUAAAACUUAAAGGAAUUGGCGGGGGAGCACUACAACCGGAGGAGCCUGCGGUUUAAUUGGACUCAACGCCGGA